rnacentral:misc_RNA from 1 species
UCUGUAGGAGAAGGCGCUUGGUUUCUUCAAAGUUCACUCUCAAGCGCUCUCCAAGUGGCCACAAUUCUUUGGAUACUAGAAGCUCGUCAUAUAACGCAGCAAUUCCUGGAUCACCCUUGGCAAACACCAUCUCGACCAAGUCAAUUGUGACCCUAAAGAAGGGCCAUUGAUUGUACAUCUCCUGUAGCAUUUGAAGAUUCUUUACAUCCUUCUCAAUGGCGUGCUUAAAUGCUGCCCCAAAGCCAAGCCAAACAGGUAGAUGAAACCUUGUCUGAGUCCAUGCAAAGAUCCAAGGGAUUGCUCGGAGUGAUUCAAUCCCACCACUUGGCUUCCUUUU